CGCAUCUUGCACCCUUUGGUAUUCCGAAGGGCACGUCUGUCUGAGUGUCGUAAACUCCUCAACCCGUCCUCCCCUUGUGGCCAAUGGGCUUGGACAUGGGGGCUUGUCGGGCCGUAUACGGCCCGACUCCCCUCGAAUGCAUUAGCGAGCCGUGAGACACUGCCGUGGACGUGAUAGCCUUUCCCGUCGCCGGCAGCGCCCGUUCGGCAUGCUGCCAGUCGUCCCGCCCAAGACAACCUCCGACGACUUGACUUCAGAUCAGGCAGAACUACCCGCUGAACUUAA
rnacentral:misc_RNA from 1 species